rnacentral:rRNA from 1 species
GCACCAUUGGAUGAGCCUGCACUUGAUUAGUUUGUUGGUAGGGUAAUGGCCUACCAAGACUGUGAUCAAUAGCUGAUUUGAGAGGAUGAUCAGCCACAUUGGGACUGAGACACGGCCCAAACUCCUACGGGAGGCAGCAGUAGGGAAUCUUGCACAAUGGAGGAAACUCUGAUGCAGCGAUGCCGCGUGAGUAAAGAAGGCCUUUGGGUUGUAAAGCUCUUUCGUCGGGGAAGAAAAUGACUGUACCCGAAUAAGAAGU